AGCCAUCCACUAUAUCUGGAGUUUCACGAAUGUAAAGGAAAGUCAUCUCAUCACAAAAUUCAUCCGGUGGAUACAUUUCCCAUCACUAAGAAUAUUCGUGAUUAUCCGAUAAGUAAUAGGUUGAAGUUUUUAGAGUAUUGUCCAUGUAAAAUUGUGUAGGUGUCUUCCAAAAGCUCCGUAGUCCUCUAUAUUGUAAGAAAGAAGGAUCUUCAUUAUUAUGACUGCUAUAGUAUAUAUUUAAAUUACUAAGUAUCUUAAGGACAAUCAAAAGCCCAAGAGAGUAGAAUUUUGAAUUGGCCUCUGGCAAGUACAUUUUUUGUAUAACUAAAUAGUAUUUCUCCAUUCCACAGAAUGUGAGCCCUUUUUGGGCUCUAAUCGUUUGCUAUAGUGUUUUUGUCUUAUUAAUAUAGUUGAUGUAAAAUCAGUAUUAACUCAAUAGUUUUUCAAGGUAAACUUAGGAAAAUUGAGUUAUUUUACCCUUUCAGCAGAGAUUACACACUGGCGCAUUUGAAUAUUAAUUUUGUUUCGCAUGGGGAGUAAGUAAUAACCCGUCAGGCCUUAUUCCUCUAAAGUCUAAACCUUCUUACGUUACACGAGUGCUUUGUGAUGGUUUUACUAAAGGAUUAAUGCCACGGUCGAUGGCACUGAAUAAGCAGCUUCGGUGGAGGUCCAGGUAGUGCCACAUCGAGCGAGACAAGAAGGAUUCAGUGCCGUCAAUGGCUGAAGACGCAGUUCCCGGGUUUGGCUUCUGUGCUUCUUCUGUAGGGAUUCGUCGCUCAGUUGCUUUGUCGCCCAAUUGAGAACAACCAGAGAGACCCCGGGACACCAUGUAUACCGAGUAACAAACAAAUGGCCUGAUUGACUCCCCUUGCACCUGGUGCCCGGGCAUGGGUAUAUCCCAAUUUCGAAGAUAACGUCAUGGAGACCAUCCGACAAGGUGAAGACUACUCACAACUCUGAUGGGCGGGUCAUCAAACAUCUUUUGCUUAACUGUUGGGCAGGGCAGUCGAGAAGCCAAUUUGAAACGGCAGCUACCUGGAGGACGAUGAAGUGUUCUCAGGUGCAGAAGCAGAAGAGGAUCGUGCAACUUAAAAGCUGUUUAGUGUUUCAAGUGUUACUGAGACCAAAGAUAAAGCAGCAUCGAACAACUUUUGUUGUUAUGUUGAAACAUUUGCAGGCCUUCUCUUUCAAGAGUGAUUUUUCAGAGCAGGUUUCAAACAUAUUUUAAAAUAAAGAAAGAUUGAGACUUCAGCUUAGAAUUAUUGUUCAUACUUCAGUUUUUAAGAGAUAAAAUCGUCUCAUAAGUCUCACGCCCUGCAGAGGUAUAUACUGUGCUAUCAUUACAUAUAUAAGAAUAAUGAAAAUUAUCUCUAGGCUGAAGAACUGCGUGGAAUAUUGUGUUUGUGCCUUCGAGUAUCAGUUUUUGUUCUUGCCUCACGUAUUCCUUAACAUGAACACGAGUUAUGUAUGCGGAUAAAAAUAUUGAAAGCUUUGUCGCUGGAUUGUAUAAUGAAGAAUAGUUUAGAAGUAAUAUCGGUAUUAAGGUAUCCCAUGACCCCAUAGCGAUAGUUUUGCAGCUUUUUUGGCGCAUUUGUGUAUACGGAAUAAGUUUCGAGUUACAAGGAGUUAUAAGGAUUAGGAUGUCUCAAAGACUUGUCAGUCCGUCCGAGGAGACAUCGUGUACUCACUUAUCUGUAGGAGCAGGUUUUACUAUUCAUUCAGUGUCCUAAUAAUUUUGUCUAGCGAGAGAGAGAGUGAUAACAGAAAACGUCACAUGAAGGUCACAGCUAUUUUAAUGUUAUUGUCAAGUGAAAAGCAAUGUAAGUUGCACCGAGGAAUAUUUAAUUGAGAUUAGAAAGGUUGAAAUGAGAGUAAAGAAAUGCCAGCCAUUAACCAAAAGAGUCAUUGACGUUUUAAUGCUUUGCUUACUGUAAGUCGCUGUCUCUCGCCAAUUUUGUAUCAAUUCAGUCUACUAACAGCACCGUUCCCAGAUGAAAUUGCACCCAAAUGUGAAAUCAUUAAGGUUUUUGGAUUGUGUUUCUGUGAAUACCUGAGUGUCUAUUUUAUUUGUUUUAUUUUUUGCUUAAUUUUGAUCACGUAGUACUGGGUUACUAAUUAUCUAUUGAGACCAAAUUGGCGCCUUGGUACCCUACAUACUCUUUGGCUUCUUUACUAUGGGUUGAAUUGAGUAUAUUUUUAGACGGUUGAGUCUCACGAAUUUUUAUGCCCUUCUUUUGCUCCAUGUGAUUUUUACGGCAGUUCCUUAGUUUGGCUUAUUACAGCUGGGCUGUGUCCAUUGUACCGUUGUUGCAAAUUUUCAGUCAAUCCUCACGGAAGAAUAAUUUUGUGAAUUGUAUUCACGUUACCACUUCUUUUACUUUCCUCUCUUUAGACUCUGUCUUUCCAUUCUGUAACUGGAGAUUAUGCUCUUCUACCUACUUCACAUUUUCGACCAACUUUUAUGGUAUUUGUUGAAUAUAUAUAUAUUUUUUAUAUACUUUGAUCCGCUUUUUGAAAACUUGUUCAUGCUUUUUUCCUAACGUUGGAUUCUCCAGCUGGAUCAGGCAUUCUCGCUGUGUUCUUUUGUUUUCAUUAAUUUUGUAAACCUUUUCUGUAUCGAGAUUUUUAGUCUUGAAUUCAUUGCCGAAGGUAUGCAUCGUCAAUGCUCUUUCUCUGACCCUUUUAAAUGUUAUCUUAAACUGUACAAACCUUUGCGCGUGUCAGUUGUGCCUUUUUAGGCAUAGAUGGUAGUUUCUCAUUUUGUCUGUGUGUCAGAUACCUUUGGUUCAUUUUGAAUGUUUUUUUUUUCCAUCAUUUAUGUAUUAUAUUAUGUACAUUAGAAGUACAGGGAUAUUUUCCAGAUGUCCAUAUGUCAGUCCCAUUUGUAUGAACUGCAAGCAAUAAGUUGAACAAUCUGUUAAAGAACACUUGAUUUUUACGAUAUAAAACAACCUGUAAUCAGCAUUUUUCCAUUUGCUAAUUAUACACUCACUUUCAAUGCGUUCUCCAGAAUGUUUAUUAGUAUAGUAUUUGUUGAUACUCAAGAUGGAUUUCAUCUUGUUCACCACAUAACUAAUUUCAGUGUCUUAGUUCAUGGCUAAUUGCAUUUACAGAUAAGCAUAUUAACCAUUUUCAUUUGAAUUCUGGUAUUGCUGAUAAUUUACGAUUUAACUUUCCCCUUUGAAGGAAGCUUGGUAUUCACUCCCUAGCAUAGCAGACUCCCAUCCUUGAAAGGCUUUGACAGAGAACCUGUAUUAUGGUGAUAUAAAAAAAAUCAUAAUGAAAGUCGUUAUUGUAA